CCCUUAGAUGUCCUGGGCUGCACGCGCGCUACACUGAUGCCUUCAACAAGCGUUGACCUUGUCUGACAGGGCUGGGUAACCCCGCCAAAGUGCAUCGUGAUGGGGUCAGACUAUUGCAAUUAUUACUCUUUAACGAGGAAUUCCUAGUACGCGUGAGUCAUCAGCUUGCACUGACUACGUCCCUGCCCUUUGUACACACCGCCCGUCGCUCCUACCGAUUGGGUGAUCCGGUGAAGCCUCGGGAUUGUGGUUCUUGCCGCUUUAUUGUGGCGUGACCGCGAGAACUUGUCUAAACCUUAUCAUCUAGAGGAAGGUGAAGUCGUAACA
rnacentral:rRNA from 1 species